UACCUCAAAAAACCACAACAGUCUGUUUCAUCCGUAUAGGAAUCAUCAGGUGGUCCACCUAUGAUUGAUGAUUCCUAUCAUCAGGUGGUCCACCUAUGAUGAUGAUUCCUAUACGGAUGAAACAGACUGUUGUGGUUUUU